ensembl:lncRNA
GGUUAGUUUAGGUAUUGGGUUAGAGAUGGUUAGUUAAGGUAUUGGGUUAGAGAUGGUUAGUUUAGGUAUUGGGUUAGAGAUGGUUAGUCUAGGUAGUAGGUUAGAGAUGGUUAGUUUAGGUAUUGGGUUAGAGAUUGUUAGUUUAGGUAUUGGAUUAGAGAUGGUUAGUUCAGGUAUUGGGUUAGAGAUGGUUAGUUUAGGUAGUAGGUUAGAGAUGGUUAGUUUAGGUAUUGGGUUAGAGAUGGU